rnacentral:lncRNA from 1 species
UCACAAGGAAACCAGCACCAAUCUGCUUCUGCACUUCCUCUUUGAUCUUUAUAGCCAUGUUAGAAUGCGUUCUUCUCAACUUUUGCUUGACUGGCGGGCAUUCUGGCUUCAACGGCAAUCUAUGCUCCACAAUCUCAGAAUCCAACUCAAUCUUCUCUUCAAACGACUGAAUAAUAUUUUCAUCAUGCUCAAGAAGACGAGACAAUUCAUCACUCACUUCUAC